rnacentral:lncRNA from 1 species
UUUAUUUUUUCUGCAGAUGCACUUACAGAUUAAUAGCUUAUGCUGGACCUGGAGACUUGAUGGGGCGAGUCACACUCAGAGUUUAUGGGGCAGGUAAGUGCCCUCUGGACCUGUACAGUACUGCAGUGCCAGUGGUCAGAGGGAUUGGUCAGGGCUACUCAAGCAGAGCAUCUCCACAACACAUUACAUAUAAAACUGCAGGAUUUAGAGACAUUUCUAUUUCAGUCUGACCACAGAUCACCUCUACACACACCUGGAGUCACCCAGAAGCUUUAAAGACUGAAGAUGGGCAAGCUGUUCUUUUCUAUGGUUCUGAUGCUGCUGCUGGGGUUGGUGUGGUGUGAAAAGGUCCAGCCUGUACUCAGUGAUGAUGAUACUGUAAGAGAGCUGCUGGAUCUGAUCAGGUUGAUGGGCAGUGUAGACUGGAAGCCUGAAGAAGACACAGUAUUGGAAGAUUCUCAAGAUGAGCUGUGGUCAGACGCUGAACCUGUGGAGAGGAGAGAUCUUCCACGACUCGGAGUGUCCGUCUACAGGCCAGUAACAACCAGGGUCCAGAGCAGUAACCUGGGUUACAGGAUACCUGGGUGUUCCCAGGUAUCGUUCUUCCUUUCCAACAGAGCGACUGGCCAGAUUCCAUGGCUGAAGAGUGGUUGGUGUGUUUUGUGUGUCUUCCAAUCACAUAACGUUCUUUAACUUCUUGGUGUUUUAUUUAUUUUAUUUUUUUCUCAUCUUGAUUAAAGACACACGUGUCCUUCCUGCAUGAAAUCUGCAUGCUUCCAGAGGUACACAAAGUAGCCUAAACACAUGAGUAUUGGAAUAAUAAAGCGCAGAAAUAUAGAGCUUGAGUAAAAAGU